UUCUGGUUAUCAUCCUCCUGACCAAGGGAUCAAACUCCUUUCCUCGGUCGGGACAUUAUUGGACUUCUGGUAUUCUUGGUUUUCUGGUUAUCAUCCUCCUGACCAAGGGAUCAAACUCCUUUCCCCGGUCAGGACAUUAUUGGACUUCUGGUAUUCUUGGUUUUCUAGUUAUCAUCAUCCCGACCAAGGGAUCGAACUUCUUUCCCUGUUGGAAUAUUAUUGGACUUUUGGUAUUCUUGGCUUUCUCAUUAUUAUCCUCCCGACAUAGGGAUUGAGCUCCUCUCUCCAGUCAGGACAUUAUUGAUAUGUUGUAUUGGGAUAUUAUUGGACUUCUGGUAUUUCUGGUUUUCUAGUUAUCAUCCUCUCGACCAAGGGAUCAAACUCCUUUCGUCAGUCGGGACAAUAUUGGACUUCUGGUAUUCUUGGCUUUCUUGUUAUUAUCCGCCUGAUAUAAUGAGCUCCUCCCAUCGGUCUGGAUGGAUCUUCUUAAUGGUCGUGAGAUCAAGCUCCCUUUCUCAGUUGGAUUAUAAUUCUGGUGUUCUAGAUAUCCUAAUGAUGUAUGAUACAUUUUCAACAUCAUGUCAAUCAAUUGUUAUCCGAAUAUUUGGUCGUUAUUGGUCUUCUGGUAUUCUUGUCUUUCUGGUUAUUAUUAUCCUCCAGACCUCGGGAUUGACCUCUUUUCAAUUAGGAUGGAUCGGAGUUUUGGUCUUCUUAAUAUUUUUACUUGUCCCAUGAUCGUGGUAUUCAGCUCCUCUCUCCAAUCACAUUAUAUUGGACUUCUGGUAUUCCACGCUUUUUGCUUAUCAUCUUCCCAACCAAGGAUCAAACUCCUCUUCCUCGGUCAGAACUGUGUUGGACUUCUGGUAUUCUUGUUAUUCUUAUUAUGUUCUUCAUUUCUAACUUUUUUCACUAUUAGCUAUGAGUUUCAAUGUUUUGUUCUUAAGGCUUUGCUUUUAGCCAUAUGCUUGUGUAAUGUAGGCUUCUCUUGUUUUCACAAGUUCCAUAUCUAGUAUCUUCUUUAUUUGUUCGAGAAUGUUCAUGUAUUUUUGAGAAUUCUAUUAUAUUCAUAUUUUGUACACUUUUGUGUUGUAGUUCAAUCAAGUUACAAUCAAAUUAUGAGGGAACUAUGUCAGAAAUUUUCCUUACUCUAGGGGUCUUUUACUUUUAUUUAUUAACAUGAUUUGAUGUUUGCUUACUUGUAGAUUGAGUCUAUUUAGACUUCGAGGUAGUAAUCAGUAAAAGUAUCAUUAGUUAGCUUCAUUGAUAGUAUUCAUGAGGUUCUAUAUAUAUAUAUAUGACAAGCUUAUUAUUCUCGCUAUUCUUAUUAUGAUCACGAUUUCUAGCUUUUCACUAGUGGCUAUGAUAUUCAAUGUUUUGUUCAUUGGGCUUUGCUUUUAGCCAUAUGCUUGUGUAAUGUGGGCUUCUCUUGUUUUCACAAGCUCCUCUUCCUUGCUGAAUUAUAAUCCAUAUUCACAUAUUCUUGGAAUUCUUUUGCUUAUCAUCUUCAUGGUCGUGGAAUCGAGCUCCUCUCUUCGGUUGGAUUAUAAUCGGUAUUCGGGUAUUUCAUGCCUUAUUCAUGGCCGUAGCAUUGAACUCUCUCCCCGAUCAGAUUAUAAUUGAUAUUUAGGCAUUAUACGCAUUCUUUUAUUUAUUAUCUUCUUGGGUAUUGAGCUCUUCUUGGUCGGUAUUUAUAUAUUCUGGGCCACUCUUGGAGAAGCAAAUUGUUGGUGCUUGCUCAAAUUUGGUAACCUAUUCUCUCUUUCUUACUUGUCUUUUAAUUUAUACUGCACUCAUCAAUUGAGACUAUGCUAAGUCUUGCUCAUUUCUUUUGCUUAUCAUCUUUAUGGUCGUGGAAUCGAGCUCCUCUCUUUGGUUGGAUUAUAAUCGGUAUUCGGGUAUUUCAUGCCUUAUUCAUGGCCGUAGCAUUGAACUCUCUCCCCGAUCAGAUUAUAAUUGAUAUAGGCAUUCUACGCAUUCUUUUAUUUAUUAUCUUCUUGGGUAUUGAGCUCUUCUUGGUCGGUAUUUAUAUAUUCUGGGCCCACUCUUGGAGAAACAAAUUGUUGGUGUUUGCUCAAAUUUGGUAACAUAUUCUCUCUUUCUUACUUGUCUUUUAAUUUAUACUGCACUCAUCAAUUGAGACUUAGCAUCAAUUGAGACUAUGCUAAGUCUUGCUCAUUUCUAGCCCCAUCUCUUUCUAGUUGGGCAUACGAGAUAGUUGUUGCUUUGCGUUUUAUUUCUGCAAAAGAUGUACAUGCUGAAGGUCAAGUUCCCAAAGGCCCUUCAUUGGGUAUUUUUGAGCAAAUAGUUAAUGGUCUAUCAGUGUCAUGUAAAGUUCGACCAUUUUCAGCAGAUAUGUUUAUCUUUAUGUUUCCAGUAUUUUUCUGUCUAAAUUUAGUUAUCAUUCAACUUUACUUGUUGCUAGCUUCGUUUCUGCUAGGUUAUUGAGCAUAUUCUGCUUUCUCCCAAGAAGACUACUUGCAUUUCACGAUGAUUGCACUUCCUACUUCUGAGCCUCCAUGGCUACUACACCUGGGAACUUCUGAUAUGACAAACACUUCUGACAUAUUUUCUAGUAUUGGUUUGUUGUUAAAAUAUUUUCUCCCAACAGAUUUUUCUUUAUAACUUGUUCACUAUUUUCAUUCUCUUUAUUGCUAGAGUGUUAGUUUAGUUUAUAUUAGUUUUAGCUCAUGAGCAAUUGAGUGUCAAUUCUUUUAAUUGAUAUGUCUCUAUGUUGUACUCUUAAAAUGAUUGGUCAUGUCGAAAAGGUUCAUUGAGGUGCCUCUUGGAGCUACAUGGGUUCAACAAUAAUGCGAGCUUCGGGAUUUGAUACAAUUCAGAUAUCAUUUGUUUUUCCUGUUAAUGGUGGUUUUAUAAUGGAGUUGGCUGUUGCUUAGUUUUGUUCCAGUGGAAUUGGCAGCCAUGAAGUGAUUCUUGUAGAUUUUGAGGUAAACAAUGAAGAAACUAGCUUUUUCUUGCCAUGCAUCUUAUCAUUAAAAUGGAGUGAUAGAAAGAUCUGAGGUGUCAGUUUCACACUUGCAAACAUCAAAUGUGUUUGUUAUGUCAUUGUUUUUCUUAUAUACUAAAUUACUAAUAAUUUCUUUGCAUUCUAUUUUGAGUAAACAUGUGUUGGAAAUGAGAUAUCUUGGUGAUUGUGGGGCGAUUCAAUUUUCUUACUAGCUUUCUAUAUUUCCCAGUGCCAAUUAAUAGCUCUCAUUGUGCUAGUGCUAAUUUAACAUUAAGAUCUAUAGAGGUAUCUACUUGUUUGGUCCUAGCAUGUCAAUUUUUUCUAUAUUUUCCAGGGUUAACAAAUGAGAUAUACUUGCUUUGUGAAAUAUAUGAUUUUUUCUAUACUUGUUUGGUCCUAGCUUUACCAAGGAAGGAUUUGAGAUCGCAAAGUCUUCAGUCUAGAAGUGUUUAUGAUGACAAUCUUUCAAGUGUGUAAUCUAGUGGAGUCAUCACUUGUAAUUAUUAUCUAUAUAAAUAAGUAAAAAAAGGACAUCUUUAUGAUUGCUUGUUCCACUUUAUAGUCAUAUAUUAAAAAGAGUUGAAUUAAAAUUUUCAAAUAAAGUUCCCAAGAUCAUUUUUAUGUACAUUGACUUCUUAAGUUGACAUAUGAGACCAAUCUCCUUGAGCAACAAAUCUUGUAUGAUGUUUCAUAUAGAUCCUAGAGAGAGGAAGGGUUAGACAGAGUGAAUCUUGGCCACUAGAUAGAAUUUAUCAAUUCAAUUAAUGCCAUAGACGUGAGUAUAGCCCUUAGCUACUAGUCGAGUUUUGAGAUGAUCAACAAUGUUGUUUGGUGAUUAUUAACUAAGAAGAUCCAUUUGCUAUCCAUGGUGGACUUUCCUAGAUAAAGAGAGACCAACCCUAAAGAGCUUAAAAUUGUGAGAUUUAUCUCAUUGAUUAUAGUUUUUUGCCACCUUGGAUUUAAAAGUACUUCUGAAACAUGUUUUACAAUUUAAUCAUAGACAUAAAGAAGACAUAAAGAAGACACAAAGAUAGAGUAUUUGGGUGACAAUUUCAUAGGAUAUAUAAAAUGAGAAAAUGGAUAGGAAUUGUAUUGCUUACAUUGUGGAAAAACAGUGUCAGAAUUAGUAGGGGAUUAAGGAUGAUGAUUAGUGAUUCAAGAAUGGGAAAGUUUUAAAGAUGAUGGAGUGACUUCUUUGUGUGAUUGUUGACUAUAUACCUAUAAGGGAGUUGUCUCUUGUGGUGGGUCAACAACAACGAGUACAUAGAGGUUUAUAGAUGGUGGUGUAAAGGAUAAUAGAAUAGAAACAAUAACACACAUAUAGUGAUAGAAUAAAGACUUAGAUGAUUUCCUUAGUUGUAAAAUUUUCACUUUUGGUGGACGAAUUAGCUUUAUGUGAUCAACGAUCAUUGAUAAAGGAGAAUCUUAGAGACAAAUGUUUAUUAGGAUGACAAGGUUCAAUGACAUUGGUAACUUCAUUAUCAUUGUUAAUAAUCAAGAUUAUACUUCAUGCAUGUGAAAUGAAGAAUAAAGUUGUUAUGAUGUGCAAAUAACUUUAGAAAAUCAAAUAUAGAGAGUAUGCAUUUCUAGUAAUCUCCCCAUCUCAGUUGUCUUGAAUUUUAGUAAAUAUAUUGAAUGUUUCACUUUGAUUUUCAUUUUUGGUCUUUAGAGGGGAAUUUUUAUUUCCAUUCAUGUAUGAUUUUUUGCUAUGUUGUUUAAUAGGGUAACCUACAAUUUGACUUAAAAGAAACUUGUAUAAUCUACAAUAUUUAUUAAUUGUGGCGUAAUUUCAAAUAAUUUUUGGUUAUCACAAUAAUUUUGUGUUCAUCAAUCACAAUUCAUUCUUUUAUAGGUUUUGAUUGCCCUUGUGAAGGAUUACUUUCAGCGCUUUC